rnacentral:rRNA from 1 species
UCGAGCGAGCGGAACUAACAGAUUUACUUCGGUAAUGACGUUAGGAAAGCGAGCGGCGGAUGGGUGAGUAACACGUGGGGAACCUGCCCCAUAGUCUGGGAUACCACUUGGAAACAGGUGCUAAUACCGGAUAAGAAAGCAGAUCGCAUGAUCAGCUUUUAAAAGGCGGCGUAAGCUGUCGCUAUGGGAUGGCCCCGCGGUGCAUUAGCUAGUUGGUAAGGUAAAGGCUUACCAAGGCGAUGAUGCAUAGCCGAGUUGAGAGACUGAUCGGCCACAUUGGGACUGAGACACGGCCCAAACUCCUACGGGAGGCAGCAGUAGGGAAUCUUCCACAAUGGACGCAAGUCUGAUGGAGCAACGCCGCGUGAGUGAAGAAGGUUUUCGGAUCGUAAAGCUCUGUUGUUGGUGAAGAAGGAUAGAGGUAGUAACUGGCCUCUAUUUGACGGUAAUCAACCAGAAAGUCACGGCUAACUACGUGCCAGCAGCCGCGGUAAUACGUAGGUGGCAAGCGUUGUCCGAAUUUAUUGGGCGUAAAGCGAGCGCAGGCGGAAGAAUAAGUCUGAUGUGAAAGCCCUCGGCUUAACCGAGGAACUGCAUCGGAAACUGUUUUUCUUGAGUGCAGAAGAGGAGAGCGGAACCCCAUGUGUAGCGGUGGAAUGCGUAGAUAUAUGGAAGAACACCAGUGGCGAAGGCGGCUCUCUGGUCUGCAACUGACGCUGAGGCUCGAAAGCAUGGGUAGCGAACAGGAUUAGAUACCCUGGUAGUCCAUGCCGUANACGAUGAGUGCUAAGUG